rnacentral:lncRNA from 1 species
UGCAGCUCCAGGAGCCGGAAGCAGGAAGCCAGCCUCCAACAGAGCUGAAGCUGAGGUGUCCGAGUGGGGGAAGAAUACGUUUCCUGCCAUCCCGGCUUGGUGGCUGCCCAUGUUCCUGUGUUGGUGCCAGAGAAAGCCGCUGCCCUCCUCUGCUCCAUCCCCAGGAACAGCCCUGCAGCUCCUGGAAGGCCCAGCUCUCCUGCGCCCUCUCCGGUCAGCUUUCAGCACCAUUAUCUUCUGCCGGGUGCCCACUCUCCGCGCGCCAGGGCGAGCCUGGCCCGGUCCUUCUCAGGUCCCGUGUAAUUGUCCUUCUGGUCAGCCUUCCAUGGCAGACGCCGGCUCCUUGGGGGAAGAGAUGUGCCCUUGUUACAUUUUUACUGCCCAUUUCCAGCCCAGAGGGGACCUGGAGCUGGUGCUAAGGUGAUCUGGGUUGAAUGAGGAGUGAGGACCUGGAGGCCAGAGGUGCCCAGACAGGAGAAAGGCUUGGUGCAUCCAGAGAUGCAACUCUUGCUUCUGUCCCUCUGGGAACAGAGAGUCUCCCUUCCAACGGUGGCUUCCUAAACAGACUUUUGCGGGCUGCAGGUCAUAGUGUCGUGGGGUUUACAAAAGCCAUAUUUAAUGUGUACCGAAAGUUAAACCAUUAGACUAAAAAUCCUGCAAACUAUUAAAAAGCAAAUGGGAAAUUUGGAAAUAAAAACUUCACUCUGAAACCUUUACAGAUGAGAUUAACAGUGCAGCAGAGAGUGCUAGAGAAUGGUUUCCCUGGAAGAUAGAUCUAAAGAAAACAUUCAGGCUUCAUGGGAAAUAAGAAAGAACACCGGAGUUACAAAGACUAUGGUGAGACAUGUUAACACUUGGUACUGGAGUCCCAGAAAGUGAGAAGAAACAGUAUUUUAUGAGAAUUUUUUCCAUCUGAAGACAAGAAGCCAUAGAUUUAAGAAGUGCUAUUGCCCAAUGCAGAAUAAAUAUAAAUACUGCAUAAGAAUAAAUACUGCACCU